rnacentral:rRNA from 1 species
AUUGAACGCUGGCGGCAUGCCUAACACAUGCAAGUCGAACGGUAACAGGCCUUCGGGCGCUGACGAGUGGCGGACGGGUGAGUAAUACAUAGGAAUCUGCCUUUUAGUGGGGGAUAACCCGGAGAAAUCCGGGCUAAUACCGCAUAAGCACCACGGUGGAAAGCAGGGGAGUCGUAAGACCUUGCGCUAAUAGAUGAGCCUAUGUCGGAUUAGCUUGUUGGUAGGGUAAUGGCCACCAAGGCGACGAUCCGUAGCUGGUCUGAGAGGACGACCAGCCACACUGGCACUGAGACACGGGCCAGACUCCUACGGGAGGGCAGCAGUGAGGAAUCUUGCGCAAUGGACGAAAGUCUGACGCAGCGAUGCCGC